GAUAGGCAAAUACAGAGAGAUAAUUCUGAUGGUUUUAAAUUUUUUUCAGGCAACUUCUGAAGAUCUGAAAAAAUUGUUUAGCGAUGUUGGUGGGGUUGAAUCUGUUCGAAUGCUGUAGGACAAGUUCACCAGAAAGUCAAGGGGCCUGGCAUAUGUGGAUUUUGCCAAUGAUGCACACCUUGUUGCAGUUGUAGGAAAGAA